GGAGAGGUGGCCGAGUGGCUGAAGGCACCGGUUUGCUAAACCGGCGUACGGCGUAAAGCCGUACCGCGGGUUCGAAUCCCGCCCUCUCCG
rnacentral:tRNA from 1 species